GCAGCUCUACCACAGCCGGACCUCCUGGGUCUACUCCAUCGGCAACGUGCUCAUGUCCAUCUCGGGGAAGACCCCCCAGCUAUACUCCCACAGCCUGACCAGCCUGUACGAGCAGAGCAAGAGGGAGCAGCGCCCCGGCGUCCACAUCGCCCCCCACCGGCUGCUGCCCAGGAAAAACGCCACCUCCACGAAGAUCCCCGACACCAAGGGCUGCCGGGCCUGCU